UGACAAAGAGGCUUCAGCUCCAUGCCAUGCAGACUUCAGCAGGCUGCUUGAGUUUCCCCACAAUAUGGCGGCUGGCUUCUCAGAGUGAGUGAUGCAAGAGAGUGAGACUGAAGCUGCAGUACCUUUUAUGACCUAGCCUUGAACAGUACAUGCAGUCAUUUCCUCAGUAUCCUAUUGGUUAUGCAGGCCAGCCUGAUUGAUUGUGGAAAUGUGUGAAUGCCAGGAGGUGCGAAUUGUUUGGAGACCAUGUUGGAGGCCAACUGCCUUAGUAACCAUCACUUUGGUACCAGGACAUGUAACUUGCCUCAUUUGCACAGUUGCUUUUUCUUACCAUUUUGUAGACAUGAGUAACAUUGGGAAGUGAACCUGUUAACCUGUGAUAUGAAGAGAAGGGGAAGAGACCAAAAAUUUAUCAGCCACACCAAGCCCUGGAAAACAGCGGUACUAAUAACCCAGCCUCCCUUCCUGGGUGCUCACUCUGUACCAGGUACCUCAUGGGCCUCAGGGUGCUAUGCAACCCCUGUCCCCAUGAGCAGGUUCCACUGAUAUUUUCAAGUCAGGCCACUCAUGCCUAUGAAAUGCAUGAAAUGAGAUUUUUUUGUGAUGUUGGCUAUGGCAACACACGUGGCUCUGCCUGAUGGAAGCUGAGACAAAAUUGGUAACCUGAGCGAACCCGUGUGGAGAAGAUUUGAGCAGAGAGUAAGCUUAGGAUGGAUAAAUGCCCACGAUAAACAAAUAAUAAAUAGAUGAGAUGAAAUAUUUAUUUCAUGUACAGGAUGAGGAUUAAAUACGUUAACAAGAUGAGGAGUCAGGGUGAGCCUGGGGAAUCCCUGGUUUCACUGGAGCCUCCUGGCUGGGAGAAGUGUCACGUCUCCAGGCUGGGGCAGCGGCAGGGCUCCCUGGUUGGGAGGUCUAGUGGUGACACGUGGAACACCUGGUGGUGAGCCCCAGAAUGCCUGUGUCCCAGGCCGACCCAUACUGGUCAUGAGCUGUGUGAUCCAGGCAAGUGACUUCACGGACCUCAGUUUCCCAUCUGCAAAAUGGGAUGAUAACAGCAAACUUCACCACUUGUGAUGAGGAUUCGGAGAGUGAAUCUUUGGCCCAGCACAAGGCCUGUAAGGUGUUUCACAUGGCAGAGUUGGUGGCGGGUCACCAAGGUGGUGGUGUCCCAGGUUGAAGGAACCUUUCUAGAAAUUCCAUUGCCUGGAAGGAUCCAGUGACACACAGUGGACCCUGAGCCACAAAACAGACUGUGGUAACUGCUGGGGCCUCCCGCAGGGUGAUCCCCGAGGAGGCUGGGAGGAGCUCAGCCCUUUCUUCUGCUGGGGGCAUGUGCAGGCAUGGAGACUGCCCGGCCCCUUCCUGUCCUGUUGGGGCAUGAUUUUCAACAGAGGGAGGAUUCUGGGCAUGUUUUCCUUUGGAAGUCUCACCAGGCUGAGCAGGACUUAGAGGAACUCCGGCUACGUUUGCUGUCCCAACAAAUAGACCAGGGUUCCCUAAGUGUCGCUUCCUCCAAGAAGCCCUCCCUGAUGAGUUGAGCCACUUUAGUUUGUGCUCAGGCUCACCCUGCACGUCUUGGUUGCUCUCAUCACUGUAAUGAUCUAAAACACACGUCUGCUCAUGAGACCCGCAUCCCACCCCCGAUGCUGGGGCCGCUCUUGGAUUUUCAUGCCUGCUGCCAGCACCCAGGGGGAGCUCCGGAAAUGUCUGCUGGGGGCUCGGAAUACCCACCUUUCUGGUAAUGCAGCCCAGCGGGUCCCAGCCUCGUUUUCCAGCCCUCACUCAAAAUGGAGUCGCUCUGGUUCGAACGCCUCUGACAAGUGUGUACCUACGUGUCAGGAUUUGCCGGGUGCUGGGCCCCAGAAGCCAGCCCUCCUGACGUGUGGCGGCCGUCCUCACCGCUCCCUCCUUCCCUGCAGCAUUCCCCAGCCCCCGGCCCACCCUCCUCCCACCCGCUUCCUGACCCAGGCUCCCGGGCCUUCCCCUCGUGGCCACCUAGCUGUGUGCUUUGUUUGGCUGCUGUCACCCCCAGGAAGGUGAUCCCCGUGAGAACUCAAAUAGCAGAUGCUCAUCUGGGACCCCCGCCUCCAGCCCCAGGGGAGGUUUCCUGGUCCUCACUGUGGCCGGGGCAUGGCUCCUUCACCCCGGGGCUCACCCUCGGUGUCCGUGAAGUCCAGCCGACGGUGACCCUAAGUCCUCCCUCCACUCGCCUAUGUUUGGGGAUAGCCCAUCCUUCCUGCAGGCCUUUGUCUUGGUGUCACCCUGCCUGAGCUGGCCCCAACCACAGUAGCAACAGUGAUGCUGAUGUGUGACUGCUGCCAGGAGCCUGCUCACAUGACCGUGUGGAGAAAGUUCUUUCCCUGAGGACCAUCUGGAGUGGACGCGUGCACUACCCCUCUCUGAAUACACCCUCCCCACGAGGCCCUCUGGAGCAUCCUGUAGAGCCAGCCCCUACCCAGAGACCCUGAGCCCAGAGAAUGCGCUGGGUGGUGAGCCUGGGGACGAAUGCAGAGCCCUAGGUCUCCUCUCCAGAAAGACCGGAUUUUGCCAUGUUGGCCAGGCUGGUCUUGAACUCCUGACCUCAAGUGAUCCACCUGCCUCGGCCUCCCAAAGUGCAGGGAUUACAGGUGUGAGCCACUGCACCCGGCCUCAGGCAGGUAUUUUUACCAGCCGAAUACUCUUGCACUGUGCACUCUUCGUGUUCAUCAUCAGUCCCCCGGAUGGGUGUUUAAGGCAUUUCCAAAGCUCUGUUAUUAAAAACACGAUG
rnacentral:lncRNA from 1 species